rnacentral:rRNA from 1 species
GCGAACGGGUGAGUAACACGUGGGCAAUCUGCCCUUCACUCUGGGACAAGCCCUGGAAACGGGGUCUAAUACCGGAUAACACCUUCCACUGCAUGGUGGGGGGUUGAAAGCUCCGGCGGUGAAGGAUGAGCCCGCGGCCUAUCAGCUUGUUGGUGGGGUGAUGGCCUACCAAGGCGACGACGGGUAGCCGGCCUGAGAGGGCGACCGGCCACACUGGGACUGAGACACGGCCCAGACUCCUACGGGAGGCAGCAGUGGGGAAUAUUGCACAAUGGGCGAAAGCCUGAUGCAGCGACGCCGCGUGAGGGAUGACGGCCUUCGGGUUGUAAACCUCUUUCAGCAGGGAAGAAGCGCAAGUGACGGUACCUGCAGAAGAAGCGCCGGCUAACUACGUGCCAGCAGCCGCGGUAAUACGUAGGGCGCAAGCGUUGUCCGGAAUUAUUGGGCGUAAAGAGCUCGUAGGCGGCCAGUCACGUCGGAUGUGAAAGCCCGGGGCUUAACCCCGGGUCUGCAUUCGAUACGGGCUGGCUAGAGUGUGGUAGGGGAGAUCGGAAUUCCUGGUGUAGCGGUGAAAUGCGCAGAUAUCAGGAGGAACACCGGUGGCGAAGGCGGAUCUCUGGGCCAUUACUGACGCUGAGGAGCGAAAGCGUGGGGAGCGAACAGGAUUAGAUACCCUGGUAGUCCACGCCGUAAACGUUG